UACGAAGGGGGCUAGCGUUGCUCGGAAUUACUGGGCGUAAAGGGCGCGUAGGCGGAUACUUAAGUCGGGGGUGAAAGCCCAGGGCUCAACCCUGGAAUUGCCUUCGAUACUGGGUAUCUUGAGUUCGGGAGAGGUGAGUGGAAUGCCGAGUGUAGAGGUGAAAUUCGUAGAUAUUCGGCGGAACACCAGUGGCGAAGGCGACUCACUGGCCCGAUACUGACGCUGAGGCGCGAAAGCGUGGGGAGCAAACAGG
rnacentral:rRNA from 1 species